CGUUAUGCAGUAAAAGCCAGAUUUUGUUCUCCUAAAUCAGUAACUUUGAAAGUUUAUAACUUUUGAUUCUGGAUUGGUAUUGAGGUGAAACUAAUUGGAGGUGAAAAUUAAAUAUGUUUAGUAUAUAUAAUUUAAAUUUCAGGGUUGUCCAUGUUUUAUUGAGUGAAUUAUGGGACUUGGAAGAGGAUAUGCUCAUUGGCUUUUAAAACAAAAUUCUGCAGAAAAUUACUCAACUUCUAAGUUACCUAACUUUCUCAUUAAAAAUGGUAUUGACCUAAAAAUGAUUGAAAAAGAAACCUGGAUGAGUGAAGUUGAAGCAUAUUAAUUGUUAAGGUCAUUGAAUUUAACUUGAAUUUUAUAUUGAAUUUUGAAUAUCACAUGCUGCUGUUGUUUUCUGAUUUUUAAGCACUGUAGAGCAAUCACGGUUUUUCUUCUAUUCCCGAAGCUAGAAUAAGUGAAAAAUUAUGAUUUUUAGUUUAAUAGAAAGCUUAAUCUAAAACAGUCAUAUGGAUAUAAAUUUUGUGCAAUUCCGAGUUAAUUUGAUAUUUUAAAAACAAGAUUGUAAUUUUGCCGCCGAUGAUUGUUUUGGUGACUACCUUGGAUAUGAGAUUUAAGAAUUGAUUUUAUACUAUUAUCAAAUAUUUUGAGAGUAUAUUGUUGUAACAAUUGUUGAUUAAAGGCUGGUGAAAUAUUGAGGAUGAGAGUGACUAUGAUGAGGUUAAAAGUGAGCCGGGCACUAUAUCCCAGGGACUUGGUUUAUUGAAAGAAUUUUGUCCCGACAAGGACGGUAGUUUGAUCCCGCUUGUCGUGGUUAUUGUUCAAAUGCAGGGAUGGUAGUUUUAUCCCACCUGCAAUGAGAACAGAGGUUCUAUUCCGCUCACAUAUGGGUGAAUUGUUUAGCAAGGACAGUGGUGUGAUCCCGCUUGCAUAUUGUUUUAUGUUGGGUAAGGACGGUGGUUUAAUCUCGCUUGUAGAUUGAUUUGUGAAUGCAACCCGAGCAAUGAUGGUGGUGUAAUCCCGCUUGUUCGAGGUGUCCAGUAAGGAUGGUGGUUUAAUCCCGCUUAUUGUGGAGGCAGGGAUGGUUGUUUAAUCCCGCUUGCAUGUUCCGAGCAAGGAUGGUGGUUUAAUCUCGCUUAUUUAUGGAACCUAUGGAUAAGGAUGGUGGUUUAAUCCCGCUUCUCCGAAUCGGGUCUGGCAACAUAACCGACGCGUGAGCUCAUGGUCAGUAGGAUAGAUAUGCAUUAUUUGCAUCUAUGUGACAUUGAUUGGGUGUGUUUAUUGUAUAUGUGGUUUGCCUAUGUGAUCAUUAUUGUUUAACUGCUAUCUGUUAUAAUUGCUGUAAUUGAAUCUGAUUGUGCUUGAACUUCAUUACUCGUGUUUGCUAUGACUGUUCUAUUAUGAGACCUUGUAUAUAUGGAGGCUGAAAUGAAAUGGGGAGAACUUGAGAUUGAAAGAAACAUGACAAGUGAAAGGUGAGAGAACUAAUAAGAGAUAGUUUGAGAAGGACUUGAGGUUUAUUGGAGAGAGAAAUGUCGAAGGAAAAUUAAUGGUGCAUGAGUGCAGUUAGUUGGUUUAGCAUACAUUACUAUUUUUCUGAUUUAGUAUAUUUCUAGGCUUGGAUUUCUGUUUGUUGAAGUGUUAGGAUUGCCUAGAGGAUUCGUGUAGCCUUUACAUCGUCUCUACUUUGGAACUGUUACCCAUGCUGAGAACCCCGAAAGGAAUGAUGUUCUCACCCGUUUUGGGAAUUUUCAUCUUACAGGUAUUGGACGUGAUGCACCUUAUUGAGCGUGCAGAAUUUGCUUUUAGGAAGCGAAGAUUGUCUUUUGAGAAUUUUACUUUUGCUUAGAUAUUUUAAAUAUUCUCCAUUACUGUAUUUUAUAACUUGUAUAUCCCUCUUAGAGGUUCAUUAUGGAGAAACAGGAUUUAUGUUUAUGAUUUUUUUUGUCCUACUUUCGGAUUGUAUUAUAUUAACUAGUCGGCCUUAUCUUCGCAAGUUAAGACUAGUGUUGUUAUGUAUGCUUUUUGAAUCAUAUAUACAUAUUUAUACUUCGGUCAUUUCUGCUUAUGUAUAUUACCGGUUUCUGAGUAUGAUGCGAUUUUGCUUAUGUCUUUUCUUCAUGGGCUCCUAGUAUAUCAUAUUCCUUCCAUUAUAUAUGUAUGUAUUUUGUUUUUAGAAGUUGUGAUACCUCACUACCUUUGAUUUACGACCUAGGCGUAAAGCUCUGUGUGGUAGAGUAUUACAUUCAGGGGUUACCAACUUAUUGGGAUAAAUUGGCUUAUAAGAUUGUAUGAGAAUGGAAUAAAUGGAAUUCUGGCUGAUGAAAUGGGGCUUGGUAAAACAUUGCAAACUAUAUCUUUGGUAGGUUAUUUACAUGAGUUCAGGGGAAUCAAAGGACCUCAUAUGGUGGUAGCUCCUAAAUCUACUCUUAAAAAUUGGAUGAAUGAUAUUCAGCACUUUUGUCCUAUUCUACGUGCAGUAAAGUUUCUUGGCAACCCUGAAGAGAGGAAAUAUAUAAGGGAGGAAUUACUAGUAGUUGGGAAGUUCGAUGUUUGUGUUACAAGUUUUGAAAUGGCAAUCAAGUAGAAGGCUACAUUGCUUUGAUUUAGUUGGCACUACAUCAUUUUCGAUGAAAGCCCAUCGAAUUUGAAAAUAAUGAGACUCUCAGAUGACUUAAUGAGUUAAUGUUAUCUCAGAUGUUCUUCACUUGUAAUGAAGUAUAUGUAAAGGAAGCAGAUAAUGUAAUAAUUGUUGAAAUUGUAAUUCAUAUAUUAGGAAUUCAUGAGUAGUUGUUUAUGACUUUGAUUUUUGAUAUUUUAUUAGAGCAUGUCAUGUG